GACAGAGGAUGCAAGCGUUAUCCGGAAUGAUUGGGCGUAAAGCGUCUGUAGGUGGCUUUUAAGUCCGCCGUCAAAUCCCAGGGCUCAACCCUGGACAGGCGGUGGAAACUACCAAGCUGGAGUACGGUAGGGCAGAGGGAAUUCCGGUGGAGCGGUGAAAUGCGUAGAGAUCGGAAAGAACACCAACGGCGAAGCACUCUGCUGGGCCGACACUGACACUGAGAGACGAAGCUAGGGGAGCGAA
rnacentral:rRNA from 1 species